rnacentral:rRNA from 1 species
UACGAAGGGGGCUAGCGUUGUUCGGAAUUACUGGGCGUAAAGCGUGCGCAGGCGGCUUCUCAAGUCAGUGGUGAAAGCCCGGAGCUCAACUCCGGAAUUGCCAUUGAAACUGUGGAGCUUGAGGACGAGAGAGGUGAGUGGAAUUCCCAGUGUAGAGGUGAAAUUCGUAGAUAUUGGGAAGAACACCGGUGGCGAAGGCGGCUCACUGGCCCGGUACUGACGCUGAGGU